rnacentral:rRNA from 1 species
GACGAACGUUGGCGGCGUGCUUAAUACAUGCAAGUCAACUGAAGCAGUGGUAGCAAUAUCGCUGUGGAGGUGGCGCACGGGUGAGUAACACGUAGGUAAUCUGCCUUCAGGUCUGGCAUAACUCCGGGAAACCGGGGCUAAUAGCAGAUGAUGCAGCGGCUCGACAUCGAGACGGUUGUUAAAGCUAUGGCGCCUGAAGAUGAGCCUGCGUCUGAUUAGCUAGUUGGCGGGGUAACGGCCCACCAAGGCAACGAUCAGUAGCUGGUCUGAGAGGAUGAUCAGCCACACUGGAACUGAGACACGGUCCAGACUCCUACGGGAGGCAGCAGUAAGGAAUAUUGCUCAAUGGGAGAAAUCCUGAAGCAGCAACGCCGCGUGAGGGACGAAGGGCUUUUGCUUGUAAACCUCUGUAGUGAGAGAAAAAAAUCCCAAUCUUUGGGACAUGAUGGUAUCUCAAAAGUAAGCCCCGGCUAACUACGUG